GGGAGCUUGGAUGUGGAAGCUCUUUGGAAACCAAGAAACACUCUGCAAAUGAAAAGGGAAGCAGAAGUUCUCCUUAGCUGAUUUUUCUUCUUGCCUUAUACUGGGUUCUUUAACACCAGAACAAAAAUAAAUAAAUAAAAGAAUCUUCCAGAAAUUCAUGAAGAGACUUCAGGUCAGGAAAGCCUGAACUUUCUCAUCUAACACCUGUUCAAGUCGGAGGAUGCUGAUUAAUUCAUGAUGGAAAGGUAUCAAUUUCACAGCCCAGACUUCUACAUUCUUGAAAUGCUGUUCUCAUGGGAGACAUUAAAUAAGCUUUGAAAUAACUGAGACGUCUGUGGAUUCUAUAACUCAAAGACCCAGGCUGAUGGCUGGUGGAAUAGCUACCAUCUCAAACAUGGCGUGAUGCUGCAUCAGAGGGAAAAAUAAGCUCUUGCACUGGCAAUGAAAUGUCUACCCUGUAGUGACUUGUGCUUACUUCCACUCACAAAUGAUUGCCCAGAGCUACUUACCUGGCUCCAAUCUACCACUGGGUCAGACGUUUGCCGAAUUCAGUUCUGAGCUUUUGAACCAAAAGCAGAUCUUCAGAACAAGAAAGAAGAUAAUAAAAGAGAAACACAAAGAAACUGAAGAUGAUUGGAGAUAUAUGAAUCAAGAUGAUUAGACCUAGCAGAGGGCUGGCUGGAUGGCAUUUAUGUUGACGAUGGACUCCUACACAGAGGAUGAUCGUGGUCUAGGACAUAA
rnacentral:antisense_RNA from 1 species